rnacentral:piRNA from 8 species
CUGGACUCUGAAUCCAGCGAUCCGAGUUC